GCUCUCACUCCGAAAGGCCGCUGGGUGAGCGCAGAGGCGGUGCAGGGCGGCGGACUCGCCUAGGCGCGCCGAGCGUGUGCGUGGGGUUGCGAGCUACGUCCUCGGAGGGGGUCGGAGAUGGCGGCGGCCGACGGGGCUUCGUCGGAGGCGGCGGCUUCAGAGCAACCCGCGGAGCUGCCUGCCUCGGUGCGGGCGAGUAUCGAGCGGAAGCGGCAGCGGGCGCUGAUGCUGCGCCAGGCCCGGCUGGCUGCUCGGCCCUACCCGGCGUCUGCGGCUGCGGCUACUGGAGGCAUGGCUAAUGUAAAAGCUGCCCCAAAGAUAAUUGACACAGGAGGAGGCUUCAUUUUAGAAGAGGAAGAAGAAGAAGAACAAACAAUUGGAAAAGUUGUUCAUCAACCAGGACCUGUGAUGGAAUUUGAUUAUGUAAUAUGUGAAGAAUGUGGGAAAGAAUUUAUGGAUUCUUAUCUUAUGAACCACUUUGAUUUGCCAACUUGUGAUAACUGCAGAGAUGCUGAUGAUAAACACAAGCUUAUCACUAAAACAGAGGCAAAACAAGAAUAUCUUCUGAAAGAUUGUGAUUUAGAAAAAAGAGAGCCAGCUCUUAAAUUUAUCGUGAAGAAGAAUCCUCAUCAUUCACAAUGGGGUGAUAUGAAACUAUACUUAAAGUUACAGAUUGUGAAGAGGUCUCUUGAAGUUUGGGGUAGUCAAGAAGCAUUAGAAGAAGCAAAAGAAGUCCGACAGGAAAACCGAGAAAAAAUGAAACAGAAGAAAUUUGAUAAAAAAGUAAAAGAAGUUGUUCCUGCCUUCCUGAAUAGGCCACAAAGGGCUGAGAUUGGAGUAGACACUGUAGAGAUUAGACACAAGAAGCUUACUGUGCAGUUUUCUCACAAGGCUCAGAACAGAGAGGAAUAAAAGCAAGUCUAAAAGUAUUUUAGUUGAAAAGAAAUUGGAACCUGGUUCCUCUUGGUCUUCUGAUUUUGAUCCACAAAGAAGCUGACACAGUUUACUUCUUUCUGGGAAGAAUUGCGGCGAGCAGUAAGAAGCAGCGUGUGGAAAAGAGAGACGAUUGUUCAUCAACAUGAGUAUGGACCAGAAGAAAACCUAGAAGACGACAUGUACCGGAAGACUUGUACUAUGUGUGGCCAUGAACUGACAUAUGAAAAAAUGUGAUUUUUAGUUCAGUAACCUGUUUUAUAGAAUUAUACAUUUAAAUAAAGGAAAUUAAGAUUGGUCCUAUUCAAAAUUUAAGAAAAUGCAAUGUCUUCAAAGAUGAAUGAAACCUUUAUAUAAGUAAUGCUUCAGGAACAAUUAUGUAUGUUACUGCUUAAAAGCAAGUUUGAGUGAAGGUCCACCUGGCCUGGCUGUGUGCAGAAUGUCAUGUCUGUGAUUGUUUUCUUACAACCAGGGAUGGGAGCUGAGUGCUAGAGUAGGCGCAAAAGUGGUAGGUCAGCUACAAAUUUGAGGACAAGAUACCAAAACAAACCGUAUAGACUUUGGUACAGGGAAAAGCUUUCAAAAAAGACCGUAGCCAGCUGAACUGGAUUCUUAACCAGGAAACAAAUAGCAAUGGUGGUGUACCACUGUACCCAGGUUCUGGUCAUGUUUUUUUAGGACAAUUUCUGUCUCCACGAUGGCGGAAACAGUGGGGAACUAUUGCUGGGAAACGCCCUGAUAAAUAGCAGAAAUAAAACGUUGGAGUUUGAUCAUGUAACCGCUAGUUAAUGAGCAUAUAUUAUCGAGGCCACUAUAUUACAGAAAAUAGAUUUGUCUAGUUAAGGGAUGCUUCUAUUGACUCUCUACCCUUAUCAGUUUAAGACAAUCCUAGUAUUCAGACAUCACUAACAGCUAAAUCUGCUCUACCUAGGUUGGCAAGGUCCCUUCCUCAUCUUUCAUUUUCAAGUAUAAUUAUAAAUUAGGAAAACAGUUAUGUUUACUUUGAGAAAAGCAUGUUAAAUUGCAUCAGUACAAUUUAACAAAAUAUUUAUUGCAAGGUAUGACAUACAGUGACAUGCCUGCCAUCUUUUGUCUGUGUGAACUUCAUCAGUGGGGACAGCAACUGCUGAAUGUUUGCUCUUACACCUUUGUUUCUUCAAAACUCAAUUCCUAGUUCAGUUUUUCUAUACACUUAAGCUGCUAGACUGGGACAGAACAGGAUCACAUCAGCGAAUAGUUGUUAAAAGCAACCAUUAUACAUGAAGAGAGGACCAAGAAAAAAAAUUAAAACCUACAAAUUUCUGUAGAAUGUGGAUCAAACAUAACUAGCCACACUUUUCAGUACAUUGUGAAAAAAGAUUACAAAGCAGUUUAGACUCAAAGUUACCAAUGCCUUAAAGGUUAGUUAUCCUUUGGUUUUCUGAGGACAGGAGUCAUUUCAAACUACAGUUGACCCUUCAACAACAUGGGGUUAGGGAUGCCGACACCCCGCACAGUCAAAAAUCUGCAUGUAACUUUCUACUCCCCCAAAACUUAAUCACCAAUAACCCAAUGCUGAAUGGAGACAGACCGAUAACAAACAAUUAACUCAUUUUGUGUGUUAUAUGCUAUAUUCUUAUAAAUAAGAUAGAGAAAAGAAAAUAAAAAUAUAUUUACUAUUUAAUUAGUGGAUCAUCAUAAAGGUCUUCAUCCUCGUCAUCUUCAUGUUGAGUAGGCUGAGGAAGACAAUGGGUUGGUCUUGCCAUCUCAGGGGUGGAAGAAAACCCGUGUGUAAGUGGACCCACACAGUUCAAACCUAUGUUGUUCAAGGGUCAACUGUAAUUACAUAUAAUUACAUAGUUUGUGCUGUGCUUAAGCAAUGGGAAGGAGAAACAGUAUAAACGAGAAUACUUAGCCAAGAACCUAGGUUUCAGUCCUCUAGUAACCCGCCAGGCAACCUGGAUUUUUCUGAAUAAUUGCUUUGUAUUUUGUCUUAAAUAGUAUAGUAUUUAAAAACCCUAGGAAUUCCCAUCUAUUAAAGUGCACUACAUUCUGUAGCCACUAAAAUGGAUGGUAAACCAAAGCAAAAAUACAUCAAAAUAUGGAAAACGCUUAAUGCAUCAUAAACUUGAAAUGUAAUAAGAGAAAAAUUAUAUCUUUUGUGCAAAUGCACAAAUACACUACCAGUAGUUGUACUGGUAAUUUUUUUCUAAGGUUUAAUGAAAAAAGUCUUAAUAAUACUAGAAAUUUGGAAUGUCAGAUAAUUCCUUAUACUUGCAUAUUAUUUUACAACCCACUGUCAUCUUAUUUCAGCAUCAACACCACAGGAAACAAGCUAAGGACUUCGUAGUUUUUUGGACCAGGUUCCAUAGAAACAAAAUCUGAACUCACCUUCAAUUCCAGAUACAGUUUCAGUCAAUCUGACCACUUCUAUGUCCACUUUAGUAUUCCGUAACUCACUACAAGACCUUGGACAAACCCAGAGGCUAGAGGAAGUCAGUAGAUGCUCUAAGAUAAUGGUGACCAAACCUGGAAUCACGUGGAGGAACUUUAAGGAUUACUAAGGAUGUCUGUGUUCCACCCUCAGAUUGUGGUUUAAUUUCAAAAUAACUUGAAAGAUUCCCAGCUGAUUUACAUUCAGACAAAUCUGAGAACUACUGUUCCAACUCAUGUAACACUUAUACUAACAAGUUGUGUCUUAAGAUACUACUUAAAAAUAUUUUGAACAGAUUUUGUAAAGAAAAUUUCAAAUGGAGAACACCUUCAGUAAGAAACCACCAGUUUAAGACAAAAAAAAAAAAAAAAAAAAAAAGGAAACAAACCCUACCAGUUUU